UAAAUAUACCGUGAUUUUUUUUUUUAUCCAUUCUUCUGUUGAGGAAUAUCUAGGUUGUUUCCAGUUUCUGGUUGUUAUAAUCAAGCUGCUCUGAACAUGUUUGAGCAAGUGUCCCUGUAGUACAGUGGGGCAUCUUGGAUAUAUGCCCAGGAGUGGUAAAGCUGGGUCUUGACGUGGAUCGAUUCCAAACUUUCUGAGAAGCCGCCAUAUUGGUUCCCAUGGUGGUUAUACAAGUCUGCACUCCUACCAGCAAUGUAAGAGUGUUACCCUUGCUCUAUAUCCUCCCCAGCUUAUCGCUCGUGUUAUUGGUUUGGAAUCUCAAAGCAAUUUUAAUCUGCAUCUUCCUGAUGCAGGCUAAGGAUGGCUAAGGAUGUUGAACAUUUCCUUAAAUGUUUUUCAGACGUUAGAUACUUCUUUGUUGAGAAUUCUAGGUUUCGAGCUGUAUACCACUCUUAAAUUGGUUUAUGUGGUCCAUUGCUAUCUGGUUUCUUGAGUUGUUUUUUUUUUUUUUAAUAUACUUUGGAUAUUACUGUUGGAUGUGGGGUUGGUGAAGAGCCUUUCCCACUCUGUAGGCUGUCAUUUGUCCUUUUGACAGUGUCCUUUACCUUGCAGAAUCCUUUUAAUUGUUAAUCUUAGUGCCUAAUUUAUUGCUGUUCUGUUCAGGGCAUUGUCUGCUGUGUCGAUGCUUCCAAUGCUACUCUCCAGCUCUUUCUACUAGGUUCACGCUAACUGGCUUUAUGUUGAGGUCUGUGGUCCACGUGGCCUUGAGUUUGUGCAGGGUGGUAAAUAUAGGUCUAUGUGCAUUCUUCUACAGCAGACACACAGCUUGACCGACCAGUACCAUUUGUUGAAGAUGCUGUUGUUUUUCCAGUGGAUAUUUCUAGCUUCUUUAUAAAAAAAAAAAAAUCAGGUGUCCAUAGGUGCAUGGAUUUUUCUGGGUCUUCAGUUCAAUUUUGUUGAUCAAUGUGUCUUUUUUUUAGUAUCAAUACCUUGUGACUUUUAUUUUUAUUGCUCUGUAGGGUUAAUCAGGGAUGGUAAUUGCUCCAGC
rnacentral:lncRNA from 1 species